GCUAGAAUGGUGAAAUUGACAGAUACUCAGGACUUAAAAUUCUGUGGAUAGUAAUAUCCAUGUGGGUUUGAAUCCCACUUCUAGUA
rnacentral:tRNA from 1 species